rnacentral:rRNA from 1 species
GUUGAAGUUCAGGUAACACUGAAUGGAGGACCGAACCGACUUACGUUGAAAAGUGAGCGGAUGAACUGAGGGUAGCGGAGAAAUUCCAAUCGAACCUGGAGAUAGCUGGUUCUCUCCGAAAUAGCUUUAGGGCUAGCCUCAAGUGAUGAUUAUUGGAGGUAGAGCACUGUUUGGACGAGGGGCCCCUCUCGGGUUACCGAAUUCAGACAAACUCCGAAUGCCAAUUAAUUUAACUUGGGAGUCAGAACAUGGGUGAUAAGGUCCGUGUUCGAAAGGGAAACAGCCCAGACCACCAGCUAAGGUCCCAAAAUAUAUGUUAAGUGGAAAAGGAUGUGGCGUUGCCCAGACAACUAGGAUGUUGGCUUAGAAGCAGCCAUCAUUUAAAGAGUGCGUAAUAGCUCACUAGUCGAGUGACACUGCGCCGAAAAUGUACCGGGGCUAAACAUAUUACCGAAGCUGUGGAUUGUCCUUUGGACAAUGGUAGGAGAGCGUUCUAAGG